AAAUAAAUCGUAGCUUUCCGUGAAUAUAUGAUUAGAUAUCCAGCAAAAUGAAUAAUUUUUCCUUUCCGUGACAUCAAGCUUAUUUGGAAAUAUCAAUUCUGCUUUAAUACAAGUUGAAAGAAAUAUCCACUUACGCCAAAUGUUGUCAUCUGAAAACACGAUAAGUCCGUUGCUGAACCCGAUUAGUGCGAAAACGCCGAAAAAA
rnacentral:lncRNA from 1 species